UAACCAUGGUGAGGGCACCUUCUUAAUAGCUCCUUGUAUCUCUCCCAUGCAUCAUACAAGGUUUUUAGAUCCAUCUGCACAAAAGAAGAGAUAUCAUUACUUAGUUU
rfam:Gossypium hirsutum cultivar TM-1 chromosome 8, whole genome shotgun sequence